CCCAACGGAUUGAUUUCUGAGGUCUGAUCUUUCCCCGGGAAUAAAUAAACAAAUGCGGCCCAAAAUUCGGAGGCCUGAGAAAAGAAAGCUGCCCUUCCCAAGCGGCCAUGCAAUUACUUCACUCGAUCUCUGUUGGCUUUUCCCUAAUUCGUUCUAAUAUUCAUGUAACAUUAAAAUUGUCAGAGCAAGUAUUGAUUUGUAAAAUAAACAAUGAUAGACAAUGGGGAGGACGUGGGCAAGAGUUCGAGCUCGGCCCCCGCCAGUUCAUCCACCAAGGAGGAGAUACGAACAGUUGCUCAUAAGAUUGCAGCGCAGCAGGCGCAGAUUUCUAGGGCAGGCGUCUGGGGAGUUCUCACCGCAAUCUCCGAAAAAGCGCGCAAACGCUCCCAGGGUAUGCAUAUUUUUUUGCAUGGCAAUGAACAUUUUCUUGGCCGCACAGUGAAGGAGGCAAGCUGCCAGUUUGAAUCCCAAAAUGUCAGUGGCAGGCACUGUAAAGUUUACAGGAAAAAGGUGGUUCUUGAAAAUACUGACCAAUCAGAUGGCAUGUGCUAUUCUGUCUUUCUAAAAGAUUCCAGCUCAAAUGGAACUUAUCUUAACUGGGAAAAACUGAAAAAGGAUUCUCCUGAAGCACAAAUUCAACAUGGAGAUAUUAUAUCUUUGGUUAAUCCACCAGAACAUGAAAAUGCCUUUGCUUUUGUGUUCCGAGAAAUCAGGCAAGAAUUAUCAUCUCAUCUCCAAAAUUCAAAGCUCAAUACACCAGCAAAAAGGAAAGCUUCUGUUGCAGAUAUAUUUGGAGAAGAUAUUGUUGGUGAUGGAAAGAGAAUAAAGGGCCUUGGCAUUGGGGGUCCUGAGGGUCCUGUUUCACUAGAUGACGUCAGAAGAUUGCAGAGAUCAAAUGAGGAAUUACGGCAGCAGUUGGAAGCACAUGUUCUUAGUAUUGAGAAGCAUCGCAAUGAAGCACGGGCUGCUGCUGCUCAACAUGAUAUUGAACUGAAAGAUCUUCGGGAGUCAGUCUCAGCUUCAUUUUUGGAACAAAUUAAGGAAUUCCGCCAGGAACUGGCAACCAAAGAGAAGGAUGUGGAAGAGAUUACUGCUCUUUCCACACAGAGAAAGAGCUGCAUAGAGGAUCUCAAUCAGCGCCUUUCUGCAGCAUCUCAGUCCCGAACAGACGCAGAAGAAAUAAUUCAAAGUCAAAAGACAACAAUUGUAGAACUUGAACAACAGUUGGAAGAGGAAAGAAGCCAGCGGAGGGAUGAAAGAGGAAAGGCUGAAGCAGACCUGAAGGCUGCUGUAGAAAGGAUUCGUUUGGAAUCUCUAGAAGAACUGAAGCGUCAAUCAGAGGCUGCUGCACGACAACACAAGGAGCAGAUUGAUGUUAUAACUAAGCUACAGGAGUCAGACAAAGAAAAUCGUGUAUUAAUGGAAGCGUUGAGGUCCAAGUUGGAGGAUGUAAGGGAAAGUCUUAUGAAAUCAGAGAAAAGGGCCCGCGAACUUGAAGUUCAACUUCGUGAAGAGGAGUCCAGUUCAGCAUCUGCAAGAAAAAAAGUCGCUGAAAAGGAGCGUGAACUACAACGGAUCAAAAUGGAACUGGAAAAAGAAAAGCAGGCAGCACGAGAAGAUGCAUGGGCCAAGGUUUCUGUACUGGAGUUGGAAAUAGCUGCUGCUAUUCGAGACCUCGGACUUGAAAAGCAACGGUUACAAGGUGCCCGAGAGCGUAUUGUUCUUCGAGAGACUCAACUGCGAGCAUUCCAUGUCACAGCUGAAGAAAUUGCAGCUUUGCAACAAAAGCAGCAAGAACAAUUAAAUGGAAUGUUAAGAACUCUGGAGGAUGGUGAAAACUGUGAACUGCCAAAUAUAGAUGAUGAAUUUGAGACGAGAACUGAAAAUCUUUGUGGAGCGGUAAGUAGAGUAAGAGAAGAAAUCAGGGCAGGUAAUGUUGGAAGUGAUGGAAUUAUAGGAGAUGGAGCAACUUCUGAUGAAGCAGAAACGCCAAAAAAAGAUGGAGAAACAGAAUGCACAAGUGAUUCUAGCAGUGUUGAAAAGUGCAAUAUAAAUAAAAGGGCAAUUGGAAAUACACUAGAGGACUGGGAAAAUGGUGACACACAAGAAGACUGUGCAGAUACAAUUCAGAUCACACAAAAGAAUUCAAGACAUGACACAGAGGUUAUGGAUACCAUGCUAUAUCAAGAUGAUGAACAGAUUGGCACUGAACAGGUGCUUGCAACUGAAGCAGAGGCAACUCAGUUGCUUGAAAUCUCAGGUGGAGGUAAAAGGCCAGAAUGUCAUGCAUAUGCUACAGGAAAUGAGCCAGCCAGUUCAAGGAAGACAUUAAGAGGGAGGAUACUGGACGAUGAUGAGAUACAAGAUUGUGAAGGGGAUCUGGGAGGAGAAAAAGUGCAAGUUGAGGAUGAAGAGCAUGCUCAAAUGUGUUGGGAAGGAAAAGAAAUUGCUGCUGAAAACCAAAGGACAACAUUGAAUACUAGGAUUGGUGCUGAAUCAGAAAAGAUGCCCAAUAUGGCUAAGAGUAGUGAGUGCCCUGCCACAACAUACCAUUCUAUCAGAAAUACAGUGAAUCAAGAUGGGCAGAGAUCGUGUCCUGGCAAUUGGCAGAAGGUGGAUGAGAUGGAUUCCAAGAUAAGGGAAGACAGGAAUACCAUAACAACAAAUGAUCUAUUGACAUCAGAGGUUCCUGGUAGUUGGGCAGUAAGCACUCCUGGGUCAUUUCACUGUGAUAAUGAGUCCCUUCGGAGUGACGAGAGAAAGCCAGGAAUUGGAAGGACCAAUGAUGAAGCUCUUCAUCAAGAUUUUGAUGCUAGCCAAAUUGGAGCUUCAGAAUAUGUUAGGUCAAGGCAGGAUAUCCAACUGAACAGCUCGAUGAGGGAUCAAGACAUGCAGCCUGAGAUAACACCAACUGCAGGAAGCCAGAAUUAUCCAGUUCCCAGCUUAGGCUCUCGACAAAGCCUUGAACAUCAAGCCUUGACUGAGAUGAUCAAUAUUGUUGAUCCUGAUUUCAAGCACAGGCAUGGGAUAAGAAGCAGCAAUGGGAAUGCACCUGACAGUGAAGAAGAUGAUACUGAGGAAGAGGAUGAUAAGAAUGAAGAUGAUGAUACUCAGGACGAUUCACAAGAUAAAGAUUCUGAAUAAACAUCAGUAUAGCAACUGUAAAGAUGUGCCAAAGGCCCAAGGGGCAAAAUGCUGGUUACCAUGGUAUUCAGGUUAAAUAAAGAGAAGUUCCAGAGAUUUCUAUCAAACAGACACACUACAGUCUUCAUCUUCGAGUUCUCACAUGACUACACCUGGGGAAGAACGAAUGUUGAAAGAACACCAUUUGUCAACGCCUUAGAUGCUCUCAUGGAAGAAAUCAAACGUAAUGGCCAUCUAGUGCAAGAAUAGAUGAUCCAAUCUGCCAGAAUGUUGGAUGAUAGCAAACUAGUGUGGAUGGAAGGACCUUCAGGAUGGAUCGCCUGGAUUUAGUCCAAACAUAUACCAUGAACAAUGUUUUUUGUAUUUACCUCCUUCGAUGGAUAGUCCUUAUAUCUACAUCUCUAGUUUUGUAAAUAGACAGUCGUUGUUCAUGACUCAGUCAUUAGAUAGGCAUGUAUUUUGUGAAAAGAAACAUUUUUGACUUAGCAUGUAUAGGAAGGUCUUCUUGACUUAUUUUGCA